UACGUAGGGUGCAAGCGUUAAUCGGAAUUACUGGGCGUAAAGCGUGCGUAGGCGGCUUUUUAAGUCGGAUGUGAAAUCCCUGAGCUUAACUUAGGAAUUGCAUUCGAUACUGGAAAGCUAGAGUAUGGGAGAGGAUGGUAGAAUUCCAGGUGUAGCGGUGAAAUGCGUAGAGAUCUGGAGGAAUACCGAUGGCGAAGGCAGCCAUCUGGCCUAAUACUGACGCUGAGGUACGAAAGCAUGGGGAGCAAACAGG
rnacentral:rRNA from 1 species